rnacentral:rRNA from 1 species
GAUGAACGCUGGCGGCGUGCCUAAUACAUGCAAGUCGAGCGAACAGACGAGGAGCUUGCUCCUCUGACGUUAGCGGCGGACGGGUGAGUAACACGUGGAUAACCUACCUAUAAGACUGGGAUAACUUCGGGAAACCGGAGCUAAUACCGGAUAAUAUAUUGAACCGCAUGGUUCAAUAGUGAAAGACGGUUUUGCUGUCACUUAUAGAUGGAUCCGCUCCGCAUUAGCUAGUUGGUAAGGUAACGGCUUACCAAGGCAACGAUGCGUAGCCGACCUGAGAGGGUGAUCGGCCACACUGGAACUGAGACACGGUCCAGACUCCUACGGGAGGCAGCAGUAGGGAAUCUUCCGAAAUGGGCGAAAGCCUGACGGAGCAACGCCGCGUGAGUGAUGAAGGUCUUCGGAUCGUAAAACUCUGUUAUUAGGGAAGAACAAAUGUGUAAGUAACUAUGCACGUCUUGACGGUACCUAAUCAGAAAGCCACGGCUAACUACGUG